rnacentral:rRNA from 1 species
AACGAACGCUGGCGGCAGGCCUAACACAUGCAAGUCGAGCGAGGACUUCGGUUCUAGCGGCGGACGGGUGAGUAACGCGUGGGAAUGUGCCCUUCUCUACGGAAUAGCCCUGGGAAACUGGGAGUAAUACCGUAUACGCCCUAUUGGGGAAAGAUUUAUCGGAGAAGGAUCAGCCCGCGUUGGAUUAGGUAGUUGGUGGGGUAAUGGCCUACCAAGCCGACGAUCCAUAGCUGGUUUGAGAGGAUGAUCAGCCACACUGGGACUGAGACACGGCCCAGACUCCUACGGGAGGCAGCAGUUGGGAAUCUUAGACAAUGGGGGCAACCCUGAUCUAGCCAUGCCGUGAGUGAUGAAGGCCUUAGGGUUGUAAAGCUCUUUCAGCUGGGAAGAUAAUGACGGUACCAGCAGAAGAAGCCCCGGCUAACUCCGUG